GUUUAUACGAUGUGCCUCGUAGUGACUAGCUAUGCAUCACAGUGACCAGCAGUUUCUAAGAGACAGAAACAACAGCAACUGGAACAGAAACUAUCAUUACCGCAGCAACUAAGAAACUAAAGUAUACUGGUGGGGCAGCACUUUCUGCUACAACUCGACUUGUCUCAGUUAAUCAGACUUUAUUUUAAAACCAUUUUCCUCUUGUCUGCUCAGGUCUCCUGUUUAUGCACAGCUUACUGUCCUAUAGCUCUUUCUCUCUCUGCUUCUGCUCUCCCAUUCCCUGGUUUCCUUUGCAAGGUUUUCAUAGUCAAAUUCCCUCACAGAAAGGGUAUGAAUGAUUUUCCCAAUUAUUAAAUGCAAAUCUCUUUCUGGGCGGUUUUUCUGUUCAGCCACUUCUGAGUUUCGUGUCCAACUUGUGCAUUCACUAUUCCUUUGUGCCAGCAGUUCACUAUAUUGGGGGUGGUGGAAAAAAAUACUAAAUACUCUUAGACAUGGUCCCCCUUCAACUUGCUUGUGAAGAAGCUUGUGGAUCACUGCAUUAUCUUGCUGUUUCUUCUAGUUUUCAGGUUGCUAGUGAUUUGGGUUAAGGUCAUAGUCCAUAAGAAAACAGAAAGGACAGAAGCCAAGCUUUUUAGCUUACCUAAUGAGGAGAGAAGAACUAAAAUACUCCUUAGGGAUCAUCACCUCAAAGAGAAGGUUUGUGAACGCUGCCAUUACACAGAGCUAGAUCACCCUUCCUGGAUGAAACGGUAUGGCCUUCAGACAUGCUGCUUUCUCCUUGGCUUCUUUCCCUGCGUCAUGGAGUGGCCUUGCCUUGAGAAAUGCUGCUCCUCGUUACCCAUGAAAACAGCCAAGCUGCACUUAGUAAAUGCCAAUCUGAGUAUUUUCACCUAUUGCGGGGGCCUCUGGAACAUAACUCCCAUGACAGGUGAGGGAUCACUGCAGUUCAUGAUGCCAAAUAUCACAUGAUCUCAACUGAACCAGUGGCUCUUUUCUCUCUCUGCCUCUCCCCGUCGCCCUUCUUUUCUGUCUCCCUCUCUCCUCCUCUCUCUGCGGGAUUGUGGUUGAUUGUCUCCCAACAAGAGGUUAUGGAGGAGACCUCAUCUGCAGAGGAGGAGGAGAAAAAGGUAGUGGAAAUCCCUCACAUCAAAUGAGAAUAGGAAGAAAUGUAAAAUGUGGGAGACACUGUAAAAUUUUGUGGAAAAUCACUACCAG
rnacentral:lncRNA from 1 species